rnacentral:rRNA from 1 species
UACAGAGACCUCAAGCGUUAUCCGGAAUCAUUGGGCGUAAAGCGUACCGAUAGGUGGUUUUGAUAGUUUUGGGUAAAAGCCAGAAGCUCAACUUCUGCGUUUGCUCAAAAUACUUCACGACUAGAGGGGCAAAGAGGUCCUUGGAACGAAUGGUGUAGUAGUGAAAUGCGUUGAUAUCAUUCGGAACACCGAAAGCGAAGGCAGAGGACUGGGUGCCACCUGACACUGCUAGGACGAAAGCGUGGGGAGCGAAUGGG